UACUUGGUAAUUGAUCUGGGUGGUGAGCCAAUUACAAGCAGUCAGUACUUUGGAAAUGGCCGGGUUACAGAAUUCAAGUAUGGUGCAAAACUCGGCACAGUUAUUCGCAAGUGGAACGGAGAGAAGAUGCGUUACUUAAAGAACUGGGGAGAAGGUUGGGGUUUCAUGUCUUCUGACAGAGCACUUGUCUUUGUGGAUAAACAUGACAAUCAACGAGGACAUGGGGCCGGAGGAGCUUCUAUUCUUACCGUCUGGGACGCUAGGCUGUAUAAAAUGCAGUUGGAUUUAUGCUUGCUCAUCCUUAUGGAAUUACACGAGUGAUGUCAAGCUACCGUUGGGCAAGACAUUUUGAAAAUGGACAAGUAAGUUUUGGAGUUAUUCAAAAUAUCAUGUUUUCGAGAAAAAGGAGGAAAUUUUGUCCUAACUUAACAUGACCACUAUUAAUUCUAUAUGUAUUCAACAAAUAUUUAUUAAGUGUAAACCAGAUACAGGGCUCUGAUUUUAGUAAUGUCAAUUAUAUUAAAAUAGCAAAAUGUAUGUUCUCUGUUGUCAAAGACUAUG